rnacentral:lncRNA from 1 species
UCCUUUUGAAACCGUCUAUUCGAGAAAUUCAACAAUUUGGCCAAGUAAUAUGGUCAAGAUGAAUCAUGUCCUCAGACAACUCAAACAUCUUUGCAAAAUUUGGUAACUCAAAAAUGUCAAAACCUUCUUUGCUUGCUAUUUAUCUAAUAAUUUGCACGUCCAUUAACAAGCACAGAAAGUCAUACAAGUAGAAUGCGAUUCAGAUACAGACUAUAAUUUAGAAACCUUUCUCUAGUUCCCCCAAUUUUCCAUUCCUAGUCAAUUGUUUACUCAAGAACGGAUGAAAUCCAAAGAAAGAAAAAUUUAAAGACAAAAAUGCUAAUCACCUGAUUGAAGAGGGAAAAAAAGCCUAAUUCUAGUAUCUGGAGUUUUAUUCUCCAAAGUAUUAUCGAGUUUGGAAUUCAAUUUCUAUUACGCAAUCAGUCGACGAACUCCGAAUCCUUCAAGUGUGGAUACAUCGGAAGGGGCGUUUGGUGGCUCCUUUCCCAGAAAAUGAAGGUGGGAAAUGUUUCUCAUCAGUUGUUAGCUUAAUUUGCUGAACUAUAGUUGCCCGAACAAAAUUUCAUUCCAGGU